rnacentral:rRNA from 1 species
CAGUAGCCGCGGGAAUACGGAGGGGGCUAGCGUUGUUCGGAAUUACUGGGCGUAAAGCGCACGUAGGCGGCUUGGUAAGUUAGAGGUGAAAGCCUGGAGCUCAACUCCAGAAUUGCCUUUAAGACUGCCGAGCUAGCAGGUGAGAGAGGUAAGUGGAAUUCCGAGUGUAGAGGUGAAAUUCGUAGAUAUUCGGAAGAACACCAGUGGCGAAGGCGGCUUACUGGCUCAUACUGGACGCUGAGAUGCGAAAGCGUGGGGAGCAAACAGGAUUAGAUACCCCAGUAGUCCCUGUCUCUUAUAC